rnacentral:rRNA from 1 species
AUUGAACGCUGGCGGCAUGCUUUACACAUGCAAGUCGAACGGCAGCACGGGCUUCGGCCUGGUGGCGAGUGGCGAACGGGUGAGUAAUGCAUCGGAACGUACCGUGUAAUGGGGGAUAACGUAGCGAAAGUUACGCUAAUACCGCAUACGCCCUGAGGGGGAAAGCGGGGGAUCGUAAGACCUCGCGUUAUACGAGCGGCCGAUGUCGGAUUAGCUAGUUGGUGGGGUAAAGGCUCACCAAGGCGACGAUCCGUAGCUGGUCUGAGAGGACGACCAGCCACACUGGGACUGAGACACGGCCCAGACUCCUACGGGAGGCAGCAGUGGGGAAUAUUGGACAAUGGGCGCAAGCCUGAUCCAGCCAUGCCGCGUGAGUGAUGAAGGCCUUAGGGUUGUAAAGCUCUUUUGCCGGGGACGAUAAUGACGGUACCCGAGAAUAAGUCCCGGCUAACUUCGUG